rnacentral:lncRNA from 1 species
CUACUGCAAUCUCAAAGCUUCGCCGCUUGUCAAUUGCUGAGAGCGAAGAGAUUGUUACAAUCCCUGGUUCAGAAACUGAGCGGUUACGCUUGAGGACAUUACUACUAACUAAAAGUCCACCUAGAAUUGAGCACAAUCUUUUCUCUAGAGUUCCGUACCUCCAAGUUUUGAUUCUUAAUGGAAAAGGGAUAGAAUGCGUUCCUAAUAGUGUGGCAAAUCUAAUACACCUCCGAUUGUUAGACCUUGAUCGGACUAGUAUAUCCAUGCUGCCGUGCUCUAUCGGCUCCCUAACAAAUUUGCAGACUCUAAACCUACAACAUUGCGAAUUUCUGAACACACUUCCAAGGAGCAUCACUCACUUGUGCAGUCUUAGACGGCUUGGCCUUCUUGGUACCCCUUUAAGGCGUGUCCCCGAAGGAAUAGGGAGACUGCAACUGCUCAAUGACCUCGAAGGAUUCAUUAUUAACGCGGGCGAUAGUUGCAAUACCGAACGAAAUAGUUGGGACUUGGAAGAAUUAGAAUCACUUGGCCAACUAAGGUGGCUCCAAUUAUCUAUUUUGGGGGGGAAACGGAACGCAAAUUCCGUGCAAUCCACUGAUGGCAUAAUAGAUCAAUCGCUGACAGUAACUCAUCCAAGGAAUAGGGCUUUUGUACUUGAAGAUAAAGCCUUCCUAAAAGAACUAGAUAUAUCCUGUAGACCACAGACGGAGAGGGAAAAAGUGUCGCCAUACACAGAGGUGGAGAUCAGUAAGAUUGAAGAUAUCUUUGAGAAAUUGCAACCCCCACCUUGUUUAGAAGAAUUACGGAUCCAAAAUUUUUACGGUGAGCAAUUUUCGAGUUGGAUGUCGCUGCCAUCUUUGGGUGCUUAUUUUCCUUAUCUAACAUAUGUGAGUUUCAUAGGUUUGCAACUAUGCUCACAACUUCCACCUCUAGGCCAAUUGCCGCAUUUGAGGUAUCUCCAAAUCAGAGAGGCUUUGGCCAUUGUAACUAUUGGUCCAGAAUUACUCGGUAAUGGGGUUGGCGACGGGGUGCACGCAGCAACAGUGUUUCCUAAGCUUGAAUUUCUUAUCUUGGUAAACAUGCCUAAUUGGGAAGAAUGGUCAUUGGUUGGCAGUGAAACAGGAAACUCAUCAUCUCGCUCGCUUCGAGUUAUGCCUCGUCUGGAGGUAUUGCGUGUAAGAGAUUGCCCAAAACUCAGAGCGCUUCCAAAUGGUUUGCAGCAACUCAGAGCACUCCGGAUUUUCAAUGUUGCACGAGCUCAUAGCCUAAGUGUAAUUGAGGACUUCCUAUUCAUAACUGAGCUUAAAAUUGAAAUGAAUAAUGGCAUAGAAAGGGUCUCAAAUCUUCCUGGACUAAAGAAGCUCACCAUUUGGGACACUCCGGCUCUGAAGUGCGUCAAUAAUUUGGUUGCACUACAAUGCCUGGAGUUGCAAGAUUAUUCUAGAGAGUCCAUCCCAGAAUGGUUGUUGAGACUGGUCCAGCAGCGACUGCAUCUCCGCGACAACAACCUCCAACUUGUGAUGCGCUGCAGUGCUGCCGUAAUUCAGAGAUGCCUCAAGGGAGGUCCGGACUGGCCUAUCAUCAAGUGCUUUUCUCGUGUUAGCGCCUACACCGAAGAUAGAUCAAUAUAUCUUGAAUAUACCAAGCAAACUGGGUGCUAUCGAACUAAUCAAUGAAGGUAACAUCGGUUAAAACUUUCCUACUUCUCUUCUCAUUUUCCUUUUUUUUACUUUUUCCUUGUCGAUUAGUGGUCAUGUACUUCAAACUUUUACGUAUGGCAUCAUCUCAAAUCUAAAACUUAACUGCAUGCAUUAUCGAUGCUAGUUCAUGAUAUUCCGUAGUUUUCUCUCCACUUGGAGGAGCUUGCGAAAAUGCCAGGCUAACUGCACUUUUAUUGUUUUUUUAAAAUAAAAAUUCCGCUUCAAUAAAAAUUCCAAUCACUUGAAUUUUUAAUUUAUUUCAAUUAAUCACUCAGCCCUAAUUUUCCUGUAAGCUUAUGUAGACUCCUUUUUUUUCCCUUUUUUUUUUUUCUUCCGAGGGGCAAGCAUUGAAAGAUGCCCUCCCAGGCAUGUUUGUUUAGGUGAAAGUAAGACGGAAGUGGAGAGGGAAAAAGUUAUUUUCGCUAUAAUCGUACACUUUCCUUAUUUGGUUUGCCGUAAAAAAGUUACGGUAGAAACUCGAGUUAACCUAAAAUGACGUAAUUGACUUCGGUCUAUCGUGGGUCGAAGUUAAUUACGGUGAAGGAAGGUAAACGAAAAAUAAUAAUAAAAUAAUAUACUAGGUAAAAAUACUUAUAUUUAAAUAUAUUUAAUUAUAGUACUAAUUACUCUUUUAUUUAGUUGGCAUAUUUAAAAUAUGAUAAAAAUUGAUUAAUUAAGUUUUAAUAUUUUCUUCAUUUAUUUUGUACAAUUAUAUAACUAAAAUUUAUGUAUAAAAAACAAUAUAAUUAUUUUAAAUUAAAUUAUAAUUAUAUAAAAAUAUAAUUAUAUUAUUUUUAUUAAUUAAAUUAUUUAUUAUUUAUAUAUAAAUUAUAGUUUUACAUUAUACACUUCUUACCAAACAAACAGCAGAACUAAUAAAACUUCAAUUCCAUAAUUACAAAACAAAUAGCGAAAAAGAAGUAGUUUUUACCAAACUUUACUACAACCGAGAGUCCACUUCAACCCAAAAUCUAAUUGCAUGGCUCCCUUCAGGUUUCGUCUAUGGUUGCUAAAAAAAUGUGUUAUUUGUAGGAAAAAAAUACAAUUGAAAAUAUUAUUUUGCAAUAUCGCAUUCCGGAUACCACUGUAUCAUCCUAUGAAAAUAUAUAAAGCAAUGCUUCAAUACAUCACAAAUAUUACUUUAAUUAGUACAUGGUAUAGUUGGAUUUACAUAAAGUAACCUGCUGAAUAGUUUAGCUAUUUGGAUUAGUUAAUAUGAUAAUAUUGGAAAAAAAUGAGUAGUAUAUAUAAAAUUUGUUAGUGUUCUUAAAUUUUAAACUUCUUAUUUAAUUUUGUUACUUACCAAAUUAGAUAAUACCCAAUUUGCUAAAUAUCAUGCUAAAAAAAAUAUUAAAUUUAAAAUUUAAUUUUUGAAUUUGGUAUUGUAAUGUAAAAUUUUAAUUUUUGAAAUUUUAAAUUUUGAAUCUAAAUUGUAAUUUUAAUCUUAAAGCCAAAUUUCAAUUCUUGAUUUAUAUUGAAAUUUUGAAUUUGAACGGAAAUUUUUAUGUUAAAUUUGUGUUUAAUAUUUUAAAAACAUUGAACUUGAUUCAUAAUUAAGUUUUUUAUGUUAUUCCAAAUUAAAUUCACAGUCUGGAUGUAAUUUAAAUUUCAAUUAUUGUUGUAGGUAUUUGAAAAGUUUAUGGUACUCCUAGUUGGAUAAAUACGGUCUUGUGGAUCAAAACAUACUGCAAAGAUCAAAAUACCCUUUAGAUAGGUACCUAGUGAAUGGUAUCUAUAUCUCGGUAGUAUAUUAUAUGUCAAAUCACUUAUUUAGAAAAAUAAAUUGCCGAGGUUUACUUGGUGUAUGGAAGCAUUGCUCAUUUAUAUGUUCAUAUAUGCUUUCGCCUUGCCUCUUUUUUGUUUUUUUUUUUUUUUUUUUUUUUUUUUUUUUUUUUUUCAGCUCCACGAGGCAUAGGAUGUCUCACCCAUGUAGCUUAAUUCAUACCUCCAACGAAUGAAGCGGGUAGCGUGCUAUCUAUUUCUCUUAAAAAAAAGAAAAGAAAAGAAAAUAUGACUAAGUCAACAUGCUUGUAAAGUCUACCGGACCCUAAUCCGUAUGCAGAAUCGAGCCAACUAUAGGCCUUAAACACAGCCCAGCUAUUGACCCUUACAAUCUUUUGCUUCUUCCUUCUGUUUUCUCAAAGCCUAAACAAAUUUAAGGUAUUUGAUUUAUUUGAUCUUUAUUAAUUAGUAACGUAUUACUGCUAAAAUAAUUGAACAGUAAUUGAAUGAUGUGUUUACAUAUUUAUUAUCCCUUUCUUUCUCUACAUUAAUACACACAUGAAUCUUACUUCUUAUUUCUAAGAAACUGAAAAAAAGUUUGGUAGACACUUUCCUCCGGUUAGCAAGAUCCCUUUUUUUUUUCUUUAACAGUGCUACCUAUUAAUGGAGCUGGCUCCUGUGUUUCUUUCCUUCCUCCUUCUUGUGCCCUUUUGUACUUAUUGAUUUAUUCUUUUCUAUUUCUUUCUUCUCUUCUUUGAUCUUAAUUUUCUACCAUUGUAUACAUGCAUACGCCCGCAAGAUAUUUAAAUUUUCAUAUAUAUAUAUACACCUGAGCAAAGAAUGAUAUGAAAGAACAAAAAAAAUAAUUCUAUUUAUUUUCAUAUGUAAUAUCGUAAUUUUAAUAUCAUAGUAAAUCCAAAUUAUCAUAUAUUUUUUGGUGUCCUCAACAAAAAAAAAAAAUAGAAAAUCAUAUUUUUAUAUAUUUUCGCCCCAAAUUCUGUUUUGCCUGUUGACCUUACAUACGAAAACAUACUGAACGGGCCCUUUGCCGGUUGGCCCGGUUAUGCUUUGAGUUCUAGUGCCUGAAUUUGGAGUUUAGGCCUUUGUAGCUUUUUAGGCUUUUGCUGGUAGUUUGAUGGCAUUUCUUAGUUGUUCUCUGUUCAUCUAGGGGAGCAUAUCUACUGUAUUUCUCCUAGUAUUUUUGAAGACUCUCAAUAUCCUUUUGUAAUCAUCUGCCACUAUAGAGAGAGGGUUUAUCAAGUGGCUUGUUUGUCCUCUUUUUAUUUGUUAUUCACUUGUGCUGUUCCCAGUUAAAUAAAACUUGCCUAUACGUCGAGUGUUCUAGCUCCAAAAAUAUAUAUAUUCGUUUAGCAUUGUAUAAAUUCGCUCCGUUCAGAUUCGGAUUUGAAUCGUAUCUUUUGACAUCUCUAGUAAAGUUGUCCAGCCUGGCUUGGUAUGACCAUUGGCCAUGCCUUUUUUUGAAGACGCGUCUAGUUUUAUAGUGUUGCGAAAAAAUUUUAUGUCAAAUAAGGUCUAAUCAAUCAUUCAUCAGAUCUCAUCGCAUGUAAGGAUUUUAAAACGGCGAUGUAUAUAUGGUUAAAUCUUUUAAAAGGUUUUUGGAAUGGGCCUGAAACUCGUGUUUCAAACGGAGAAGCCAUUUUAUCAUGUAUAGAUAUUGUUAGUUAAUUCACGAAUUUUUAAAGAAAUAAAUUAAACGGCUGUAUUUGUAUUUUUCCAAAAAAUUCAAAAAAGCACGUGUUUUUUUGGUCAAAAAUACUUAUUUGCGAAUAAUUCGCGAGCUCCGAAUUAUUCGCCCAAAAAUACAGUUCCGCUCUCGUGCCCGCGCCAACGCCCCUGGGUCGCGGGCCUCACGGUCGCGGGUCACAGGCCUCGCGGCUCGCUCACGCUCACAGUCGAGGGUCGCAGGCCUCACAGCUCGCCCAAAACAGAAAAAACAAAACUCUUUCCAAACGUUCACCACGCCCAAAAUAGAAAAGAGAUGAAAAGAAAAAUCCUUUUCAAAUGGUUCGCCCUGCUCCCCCCGUAAAAAAAAUCAUUCGAUUAAAAAAAUUUAAUUUCUUAUAGACUAUCUUAAUCUCUUAUUUGCUUAAUUAUUUAUUUAUUUAUUUUGAGUCAUAAUAUAGUUUGUUAUUUUUUUUACUUAAUUAGCGAGCUUAUCUCAUCUCAAGCUUGGCUUGAAAUUAAUUUCAAACCUAAAUUUAGGCUUAAGCUCGGCUUGAAAUUAAUUCGAGCCGAGCUCGAGCGAGCCUAAUUUCGAGUCGAGCGAGCUCAAGCCCUAAACGAGCUGUUUGAAAUUCUUAACACCGUGCAAUCUAUAGUUUAAUUUUUAUAAAACAUUAUCUAAAAUUCCAUACAAAAAAUGUCUAAUAGCUCAACAUACAAAAUGAAUGCAUGAAAUACAAUAUUAUAAGAUUAAAAAAAAAGGAAAAGCGAUUCUGUGAGUGAGUGAAAAAGAGAGAAAAAGAGAGAAAUUAGAGUACAAUUUUGCUGGUUUGAUUUUGUGGGCCCAAUAAUCUAAAUUCUAUAUACAUAUAAUUAAAAUACAUAAUAUAUAUUAUUUUAUAUAAUUAAAAUAUAUAUUAUAUAUAAUUAUAUAGAGAGAGAGUUCGGCUACUAUACUCUUAUUAGUAUAGACCCCUUUAUACUCAUAAGUUUUCGAUUGUUAGAUCUAUACUUUUGACUAUUUCCAUCCGUAAAUCAUACUAUUCAACCAAUCAUCCACCCAAUCCUAGGGGACCACUAUCAUCCUAAUUGCACAUCCAACGGCCAAAAAUUUAUAAGUAUAAAAAGGUCUAUACUCAAAAGAGUAUAGUAGCCAUAGCCUAUAUAUAUAUAGAAUUAGAUUACUAUACUAUUAAUAGUACCAACCGCUUGUUAUUAAGUUUUCGGCCCUUAGAUGAAGGAAUGUGUGGUCAGGAUAAUUGUAGCCCCUUAGGGUUGAGGAGGUGAGUAGUUGAAUAGUAUGAUCUAAUGGAUGAAAAUGAUUAAAGAGGUAGAUCUAACGGUAGAAAACUCGAUAGCACCAAACGCUUGGUACUAUUGAUAGUAUAGUAACAGAACUCUAUAUAUAUAGAUAGAUCUAACGGCAGAUAACUCGAUAGCACAAAACGAUUGGUACUAUAAAUUGUAUAAUAGUCGGACUAUAUACAUAUAGAGAGAGAGUCCGGCUACUAUAUUAUCGAUAGUACCAAAUGCUUAGUACUGUCGAAUUUUUUACCGUUAGAUCUACCCCUUUGAGCAUUUUCACCCGAUAGAUCAUAUUAUUCAACUAAUCACCCNUUAAUAGCAUAAAUUUUGAGAGAAAAAAAUUUAAUUUAAUAGCUGAAUUUUUUAUUUCGAAUUUUUAAAGGAUGAACGUAUAAUAUCCGUAUAAAUCACGUAUAUGAAUAAUUGACGAAUUUGUGUUUUAGCCAUAUUUUUUAACGAAUUUAAAAAUAAAAAAAUAAAUUUUAUCCGAAUUAUAACUGUAUCGAAUUUUUGUCAAAUCCGAAUUAACUAUGGCACAGAUUUGAUAAUUUGUAUUUAAAUAUUCCAUACAAUUUUUGUCCGAUGCAUGCGGAAUGAGGAAGGUGCCUCACUUUGACCAGUACUUGGGUUUCUGCAUACGCGUGAGGUAGAUGACACAAAUUUUAAUCAAAUAUUAAAGAUAAAAUAAUCUUAUUGUCUUAGUUGCAUAAUCUACUCAAAUUGAAGUAUUAAACCCUGUAUCUCAAUCUCCACCGUUCGAUCUCUCCACCUUCUUUAGAUCGACGCACAAUAUCUUUUCUUUCAACACGUAGCUCCAAAUAUUAUAUAUUAUUACUAGCAAGUAACCCGUAAGAUAUGUAGAUUAAGAAGCAUUGUGGAGAACCCGAGCAAAACAGCAUUGGCUACAGGAGGGUGACAAUAAUACCAAAUUCUUCCAUGCUGUAGCCAAUGGCCGGAUGAGAACAAACAGAAUUGACGUGAUCGAAGAGAGUGGGACGGUGCAUCACUCUGAAGAGGAUAAACAGAAUGUCUUAUUUCAAAAUUUUAAAAAGCUUUACUCAUCGGAUGAGUUGGCUCCAUCAUCAUUUGGGGACUGGAGUGAGCUUUUCAGGAUGACGCGGGUUAGCCCUACCGAUCAUGUGCNUUUAUCAAGUGGCUUGUUUGUCCUCUUUUUAUUUGUUAUUCACUUGUGCUGUUCCCAGUUAAAUAAAACUUGCCUAUACGUCGAGUGUUCUAGCUCCAAAAAUAUAUAUAUUCGUUUAGCAUUGUAUAAAUUCGCUCCGUUCAGAUUCGGAUUUGAAUCGUAUCUUUUGACAUCUCUAGUAAAGUUGUCCAGCCUGGCUUGGUAUGACCAUUGGCCAUGCCUUUUUUUGAAGACGCGUCUAGUUUUAUAGUGUUGCGAAAAAAUUUUAUGUCAAAUAAGGUCUAAUCAAUCAUUCAUCAGAUCUCAUCGCAUGUAAGGAUUUUAAAACGGUGAUGUAUAUAUGGUUAAAUCUUUUAAAAGGUUUUUGGAAUGGGCCUGAAACUCGUGUUUCAAACGGAGAAGCCAUUUUAUCAUGUAUAGAUAUUGUUAGUUAAUUCACGAAUUUUUAAAGAAAUAAAUUAAACGGCUGUAUUUGUAUUUUUCCAAAAAAUUCAAAAAAGCACGUGUUUUUUUGGUCAAAAAUACUUAUUUGCGAAUAAUUCGCGAGCUCCGAAUUAUUCGCCCAAAAAUACGGCUCUGCGCUUGCACCCGCGCCCACGCCCGCUCCCCCGCCCCAGGGUCGCGGGCCUCGCAGCUCGCUCACGCUCACGGUCGCAGGUCGUAGGCCUCACGGCUCACCCAAAAUAGAAAAAAAAAAAACUCUUUCCAAACGUUCACCUCGCCCAAAACAGAAAAAAGAAAAAAAAAAUCCUUUCCGAAACGUUCGCCCUCCUCCCCCCGUAAAAAAAAAAAAUUACUCGAUCAAAAAAGUUUAAUCUCUUAUAAACUAUCUUAAUCUCUUACUUGUUUAAUUAUUUAUUUAUUUUGAGGCAUAAUAUAGUUUGCUAUUUUUUUACUUAAUUAGCUUAAUUUUGUAACUCUUUAUUCUUAUAUUCUUAAGAAAUAUGAAUAUUUAUAUUAAUAGCAUAAAUUUUGAGAGAAAAAAAUUUAAUUUAAUAGCUGAAUUUUUUAUUUCGAAUUUUUAAAGGAUGAACGUAUAAUAUCCGUAUAAAUCACGUAUAUGAAUAAUUGACGAAUUUGUGUUUUAGCCAUAUUUUUUAACGAAUUUAAAAAUAAAAAAAUAAAUUUUAUCCGAAUUAUAACUGUAUCGAAUUUUUGUCAAAUCCGAAUUAACUAUGGCACAGAUUUGAUAAUUUGUAUUUAAAUACUCCAUAUAAUUUUUGUCCGAUGCAUGCGCAACGAAGAAGGUGCCUCACUUUGACCAGUACUUGGGUUUCUGUAUACGCGUGAGGUAGAUGACACAAAUUUUAAUCAAUAUUAAAGAUAAAAUAAUCUUAUUGUCUUAGUUGCGUAAUCUACUCAAAUUGAAGUAUUAAACUCAAUCUCCACCGUUCAAUCUCUCCACCUUCUCUAGAUCGACGCAAAAUAUCGUUUCUUUCAACACGUUGCUCCAAAUAUUAUAUAUUAGUAUUAGCAAGUAACCCAUAAGAUAUGUAGAUUAAGAUAGACCUGGCAAACGGGCAGGUUAGGUAAUCCGCUGGCGGGUCAUUGUACCCGCGGGUUAUUUGGGCAUGAAUAAAAUUUAUCCGUAAAUUUUUUGGGUAGCCAACAUUUUUAUCAAUACCCGUCCACGUGUGGGCGGAUGGAUAUGCAGGUUACCCAGUAUUUUUUUUUCUCUUAUAUUUUUUAAAUAUAAAAUACAUAUAUAUAAGUUUUAAAAACGUAACAUAAUUCAUUAUUUAAAAUAUUAUAACAUACAAUAAAACUAUUUAAAGUUUUAAAGCAAAAACAUAUCAUAAUAUAAAUGACACGCGAUAAGAAAUUAUAAUUAGGGUUUUUAAAAUAGAUAAAUAAAAAUAUAUAUUUUUUAAUUAAAAAAUAUAUUAUAUAAUAAAAAAAUAUAUAUGCGGGUACUCGUGGGUACCCGUAGGUUACCCAAAAUGCUCACAGCUUAAUGGGUACCCACCCAUUUUACCUGUAAUUUUUUUGGUUGAAAAAGUUGGUAUUCAUACCUGCAAAUUUGCGGGUAACCAGCGGACACCCGCGGAUAUGGGUCGAGAUUGCCAGCUCUAAAUUAAGAUCAUCAUUUUUAAUUUUAAUUUAUUAUAAUAAAAAAAAUUAAUUUUUUUAUGAAAAAUAGACAGUGGGUGUUUAGAUUUUAUCUUAUCCUAUAAUAGAAAAGGGAAACUAAAACUAAGAGUUAAAAUAAAAACUAAUCAUUUCCUACUCUACUUAAUCGCUUGAACAAAAAUCAAGGUUGAAAUGCUAAAAGUGUAUAUAAUUGAUUAAAAUGUAUUAAAUUAUGACUAUUAACAUAAGGUAUGCCAUCAUUGUAUAUUGUGACUAUUCAUGAGCAAUCAUUAUUUCCAUUUAUAACAGAGAAGAUUAUAAACUUGAAAACGGCAGAAGAAGUAAUGAAUAGUUAAGUAAGGUCUACAAAAGAAGACUUAAUAGUAAGAAAAUUAUAAGAAAAAUAUUAAAUCAAUUUGUGAAUUAAUUGAUGACAACAUAUUAAAUUGUGUAUAGUAUAGUACUUGUUAUAUGGCGGUUUAUGGUUCAUUUAGGAACCAUGCUUUCUCUUAGUACACCCAUGUUUUCUAUUAUCUGCCCAAUCAAUCUAAAAAAAAAAGUGUAUACCUAUAUUCGCUUCUUCUUUUAUUUUUUUUUUGAGAGAUAGGUGACAUGGUAUCCGCUUCGUUUAUUUCAUUUAGAAAUAAAUUUAGCUGGAAAUGUGAAUCGAUUAGAAUUCGAACUUGAAAUCUCGGAUACCAAUCACCAAGUUUUUUGCCACUUGAGCUAGGGACGGUCGGUCCUAUAUUCGCUUCUAAAACUCAUUAAGAUUAAAAAUAUUUUUAAUAAAAUUAGAAAAUAAUUGGACUAAAUUUAAUUGGCUAAUAAAAAUAGAAUAUGCUCUGAUAAAAUUAGGGUUUAAGAGAGAUAUAUCUAACACAAGCAACGCUAGUAUACCUAGAAAGAAAGUGUCCUUUGUAUAAAGGCCAAUAUUUGAUACUUAUUUUAGUAAUUUUUUUGAGUGAAGAGCUAAGUUUGCCAUCAAAAGGGGUUGUAUUUUCUAUAACUCCUCAUCCGAAAAUUGUAGAAUGGGCUUUUUUUGCAAAUAGCCCCCUGACAAAUUUUAUUUGCAAAAAUAGCUUCGUCCAAAAAUUAUUUACAAAAAUGGUCCUGCUCCUGCCACGCUAGCGCCACGUCAGCGCCACGCGAGCAGGGCGGGUCCAGGUGUUUAAGUUGAACACGGUGAACCAUUCACCGUGUUCAAUACAAGAUUUUUGUAUUGGACACGGUGAAUCAUUCACCGUGUCCAAUACAAAAACUUUGUAUUGAACACGGUGAAUGAUUCACCGUGUUCAACUUAACCAUCUGGCCCAGCCCCGCCCGCGUGGCGCUGACGUGGCGCUUGCGUGGCGGGGCCAGGGCCAUUUUUGCAAAUAAAUUUUUGACAGGGCCAAUUUUAAAAAAAAAAUUUGUAAGGGGGCUAUUUGUAAAAAAAGCCCUUGUAGAAUUUACUAACUUUUUUUAAUUUUUAGAAAAAAAAAAUGAUAGGAUUUAUAAAGAAAAUGUGACUUCUCUAUUAGUAAAGUUGUAGGAAUAUAAUACAAAGUUGAUAAUCGAACUAGCAUUAAUGUAGAAAGUAUUAAAAUAUUCUUUAAACCUCAGGAUGGCGUGUAACGUGCAAAGAUGUACUUAUUAAUUUGGCUGCACAUGCUAUUGUUUUCAACUGACAGAGCUGUUCGUUGGGAGGAAUUCUACACUGUCACACUUACACCACGUCAUUAAUAACAAGCCAAUCACAUUCCUUCUUUUCAAACAAAAGUACAAUAAAAAUACUUUUUUACAAUCAUGAUGGGACAUAUAUUCUUAAAAGGAUUAAUUUGAUUGAUUUGUUACGCCACGUUACUAAUAUAACCGUUGCAUUCUAGAAUUUUUCGUUCGUUGGAAGGUCACAUCAAUUGUCUCUGUCAUUGCUGAUAAAAUAACAUGGUAUGAGUCAACCCAAAGCCCUAUCUUCUUCUGAAUCAAGAGCAGCAGAAUAGAUCUCUGGCCAUAGCUGAACUCGAAACAUUUUGCAAAGCAAGAAGAAUUUGAUCGAGCACCAUCACCCAAAUGGCGACGCUGGACGCUCUUUUCGGAAACUGCUCAGAGAAGCUCGCUGCUUUAAUCCAGGAUGAGGUGGCGAUGAUUCUCGGAGUGAAGGAAGAGCUCCGGAAGCUGCAGAGGAGGAUGAAGCGGAUCGACGGCGCACUGAAGAAAGUAGAGCGGGAGAGGACCGAAGAUGCCGCUUGGUUGAAUGAGCUGCAAAGUAUCUUGCAUGAAGCGAACGAUGUCUUUGACGAACUCAGGUAUGAGCUGCCGUCCGCAUCUUCAUCAGUUCUGUCGAUUCUCUGCUGCCUUCCUAUAUUCUCUUUCUUCAACUCCAUUCGAGUUCGUCACAACUUAGCCGAGAGAAUUAGAGACCUCAACAAUAGAAUCGAUGCGGUUGCGAAGGACCAGUGGAUCUUUAAUCUUGAGUCGGUAAAUGCGACGGUGGGUCGAGUGGCGAGCAUGUCGUCCACGCGCGAGACUUGUGAGAUCAUGGAAGCCGACGUCGUUGGGAGAGAGAUCGAAGAUGCUACCGACGUAUUGGUCGAGAUGAUAGUCGCGAACAACCGACGGAAUUUUCAAGUGAUUGCUGUAGCAGGCAUGGGAGGGAUCGGCAAGACCACGCUCGCUCAGAAGGUGGACAACAAUCCUAGAAUCCGAGAGAACUUCCAGGUGAGAAUUUGGAUUUGCGUCUCCCAAAAAUAUUCAGCUGUUCAACUGCUACAGGAGAUCACUCGAAAAGCAGGAGGCAGCCACGGAAGUGCCGAACGGGUUUUGGAACUGCUCCCUAUUCUCAGCCGGACACUUGGAGGGAGGAGAAUCUUUCUUGUGCUGGACGACGUAUGGCGAUCGAACGUAUGGACCGAUUUACUCCGAAACCCGCUACAAAAUGGAGCAGCUAGAGGAUGUGUUCUGGUGACCACGAGAGACCAGAACGUUGCGAUGAGAAUGGGUGCGAAACACAUUCACCGGGUGGAGAAAAUGUCUGUUGCCUCAGGCUGGGAGUUGCUUUGCAAGAAAACCUAUCUAGAAGAAGAAGGAGAAGAUGCGCAAAGUUUGAGAAGUGUGGGGGUUCAAAUUGUUAACAAAUGCGGCGGUCUUCCCCUUGCUAUCAAAGUGAUUGCCGGUGUCUUAACCACCAAGGAGAAAAGCAGAAAAGAGUGGGAGAAAGUUCUCAAAAGCAAUGCUUGGUCUAUGAGUGAGCUUCCUAAGGAAUUCACAGGUGCUCUCUACUUAAGUUACGAUGAUUUGCCGCUUCAUCUGAAGCAAUGCUUUCUUUCGUUAUGCCUUUACCUUGAGGAUGAUGUACACCGCAUUUGGGAUCUUCGCAGGAUGUGGGUGGCAGAGGGGUUUGUCAAGCAAGAAGAAGGUUUAACAAUGGAAGAGUUGGCCGAGCAAUACUACUUCGAGCUAAUACGUAGGAGUCUACUACAACCUGAUCCUCGUCAUGUGGAUAAGAGCAGGUGCAAAGUACACGAUCUCUUGAGAUCUCUCAGUCAAUAUUUGUCACGAGAUGAAAGUUACUAUGGAGACCCACAGUCCUUGGAUGCUACUGCAAUCUCAAAGCUUCGCCGCUUGUCAAUUGCUGGGAGCGGAGAGAUUGUUACAAUCCCUGGUCCGGAAACUGAGCAGCUACGCUUGAGCACUUUACUACUAAUUAAGAGUCCACCUAGAAUUGAGCGCAAUCUUUUCUCUAGAGUUCCAUACCUCCAAGUUUUAAUUCUUAAUGGAAAAGGGAUAGAAUGCGUUCCUGAUAGUGUGGGAAAUCUAAUACACCUCCGAUUGCUAGAUCUUAAUCGCACUAACAUAUCCAAUCUGCCAGACUCUAUUGGAUUCCUAAAAAAUUUGCAGACUUUAAACCUACGACAUUGCAAAUUUUUGAACACACUUCCAAGGAGCAUCACUCGCUUAUGCAGUCUUAGACGGCUUGGCCUUUCACGUACCCCUUUGAGAUGUGUCCCUGAAGGAAUAGGGAGACUGCAACUGCUCAAUGACCUCGAUGGAUUCGUUAUUAACGCAGAUGUUAGUUGCAAUACCGAACGAAACAGUUGGGACUUGGAAGAAUUGAAAUCACUUGGCCAACUAAGGUGGCUCAAAUUAUCUAUCUUGGGGGGAAAACGGAACGCAAAUUCUGUGCACUCCGCGGAUGACCUGAUAGUUCAACCGCCGACAGUAACUCAUCCAAGGAAUACGGCUUCUGUACUUGAAGGAAAAGCCUUCCUAAAAGAACUAAUUAUAUUAUGUAGACCACAGAAAAAGAGGGAAAAAGUGCUGCCAUACACAGAGGAGGAGAUCAGUAAGAUUGAAGAUAUCUUUGAGAAAUUGCACCCUCCAACUUGUUUAGAACGAUUAUGGAUCCACAACUUUUAUGGUCGGCAUAUUCCGAGUUGGAUGCUGUCGUCAUCUUUGGGUACUUAUCUUCCUUAUCUAACAUCUGUGAAUUUCAAAGGUUUGCCACUAUGCCUACAACUUCCACCUCUAGGCCAGUUGCCACAUCUGUGGUAUCUCGGAAUCGAAAAUGCUUUUGCGAUUGUAACUAUUGGUCCAGAAUUACUCGGUAUUGGGGUAGGUGACGGGGUGCACGCAGCAACAGCCUUUCCUAAGCUUGAAUUUCUUAAUAUGGUAAACAUGCCUAAUUGGGAAGAAUGGUCCUUAGUUGGCAGUGAAACAGGAAACUCAUCAUCUCGCUCGCUGCGAGUUAUGCCUCGUCUGGAGGUAUUGUGUGUAAUAGAUUGCCCAAAACUUCGAGCACUUCCAAAAGGUUUGCAGCAACUCAGAGCACUCCAGAAUUUGAAAGUUGAACGAGCUCAUAGCCUAAGCGUAAUUGAGGACUUCCUGUUCAUAACUGAACUUAUAAUCAUAAAGAAUGGCUGCAUGGAAAGGAUUUCAAAUCUUCCUGCACUAAAGAAGCUCACCAUUUGCGGCACUCCGGCUCUAAAGUGCGUCCAUAAUUUGGCUGCACUACAACACCUAGAGUUGCAAGAUUAUUCUAUGGAAUCCCUCCCAGAAUGGUUGUUGAGACUGGUCCAGCAACGGGCGCAUCUUCACGACAAAAACCUCCAACUUGUGAUUCGCUGCAGUGUCGCCGUAAUUCAGAGAUGCCUCAAGGGAGGGCAUGACUGGCCCAUCAUCGAGUGCUUUUCUCAUGUCCGCGCCUACACCAAAGAUAGAUCAGCAUAUCUGGAAUAUACCAAGCAAACUGGGUGCUAUCGAACCAAUCAAUGAAAGUAACAUCGGCAAAAACUUUCCUACUCUUCUCAUUUUGUUUCUUUUCUUUAUCGAUUAGAUGUUUUGUACUUCAAACUGUUAUGUUGGUAUUGUCUCAAUUCCAAGGAGCUUUGGUUGUUCUUCUCAAUAAAAAUUCUGCUUCAAUAAUGGUGCUUCAUUUCCAUUAUUCUAAAAUUCCCUUCAGUCUGCCUUUUAAGUGAAUUUUAUUAUCUUAAGAUAAAAUUAUCUAGAACUUAUUUGAACUAUGGAUCAUUUUGAGUCAGCUAUCCAAUCUUUUAAAAUUUUGAUUUUACUAUCAAAUCUUUCAAUAUAUUUAUUUUGACUUAGUCAACAACAUUUUAAAUUCAAAAUUUAAGUUAAUUGGUUACUUCAAUAAAUUUAUAGUUGCAAAAAUUACAUGAAGUAUAUAUUGACUAAACCCGUAAAGAUAAACGAUGCAUUCCAAUUUUGAAGUUAAAACACCGUUGACUUACUCAAAUCAAAUAAAUUGAUAAAUUAAAUACUAAAAUCAAAAUUUUUAAAGAAUAGAUAGUCAACUCAAAAUGAUUUAUAGUUUGUAAUAAAUUUUGCACGUUUCACCUUAUCUUAACUCAAUUGUAGAAAUAUCAUAGUGUGGAAUGUAUAAAUAUUCUUUUGAUUUACAAAAGCCAUUUAUUGUGUGAGUGCAUGCAUUCUAUUUGCUCAUGCUGAAAAUAAGUACAUUUGAUCAGGCAAUCAACUGAUCAAAAGUCAGAUCCUUCAAUUGAUCCUUUCAGUUCUAUUAGAAGGAUCGGUUUAUUUUUUUGAAGAGAAAGGUAGCAUAUUACCGGCUUCCUUUAUUUUUUUUAGAAAAAAUUAGUUUGAAAUGUAAAGCAAUUAAAAUUUUGAAUUUGGGAUCUCAGAUAUCAACUACCAUGCCCUUGAGUCGUUUGUCACUUGUGCUAGGCACAGCUGGUUAGUAAGAUGGUUUAUGAUCUUUUUGUUGUGAGAGUUUGUCGAUCACUUUCGGGCCGUCGACCAAUUCACAGUGAAAGUUUUUAUUUUGAGAAAGAGGUAGCACGCUAUCCGCUUUAUUAAAAAAAAAAAUUAUCACAGUCAAAGUUACCUGGUUUUUUUCCUGAAACAAAGCCCUCUUUGGUUAGCUACUCCUGUAUCAAUAAUUUGAACAUUUUAGUCUUAAAAAAAAAAACAACAACUAAUCUGAACAUUUUGCUGAUAUAAACCUCUCAAUUAACUAAGCAACCAGGCUUCAUUGCUUAGCUGCAGUUUGGUUUCUAGGAAAAUCAUGAAAAGAAAUUGUGGAAAAGAUGUUUUUCAUGAAAAACUUUUUUUCAAACUUUUUUUUGGCCCAUUUGGUUCUAACUUUUUCAUGAUUUUUCUAACUUUUUUUCUUCUUUUUUCUUUUUUCUACAAAGGCUCUGAUUGCCUCACCUCUGUAGCCUAGUUCAUCAAUCCAAUUAAUGAAACGGAUAGCGUGCUACCUUUUUCCUCAAAAAAAACUUUUUUUUGGCCCAUUUGGUUCUAAGAAAAAUUUGUUUUUUAAGAAAUUUUUUUCUUGAUUUUACCAAAAAAUUAUUGUUUUUGUUUGCUUUUUUUUUUUGAAAAAAACGAAAACAAUAGUUUUCCAUGAAAUAUGGAAAUUCUUUUUUCCAAAUAAAGCUUUUUUUUAAAAUCAAAGAGGUGGAAAACUGAAAAAAAAAAUUCAGAAUAUAUUCUAUAAUAUCAUAUUUUGCAUACCACAAUGUCAUUCUAUAUAUAAAAAAAAGAAAAGCCAUAUUUAUGUAUGCUUUCGCCUUACUUCCAUUAAUAAGUAGACCUUAAUACCAAACAGAUCCUAACUCUACAACGUGACCCAAUUGAAAAUAUGACUAAAAGUCAACAUGCUUUUAAAGCCUAUUACACCCUAGUUCAUAUGUAGAAUCGAGCCCAGUAUAGACCUUAAACAAAGCCCAAAUACUGACCCUUGCAAUUUUAUGUUUCUUCUUUCUCUUUUCUCAAAGCCUAAAUAAAUUUAAGGUAUCUAAAUUUUCAUGUGUACACAUACACCUAAGCAAAAUACGACAAGAAAGUAGAAUAGCAAAACAAUCGAUAUCACAAUGAGUCCAUUAUGAUAUAUUUUCUACCGUCCCUAAUGAAAAAUUAAAAAGUAUAUUUUUAUAUAUUUUUGUUCCAAUUCUGUAGUGUUUUUAUUAGCAUUAUAAGCCUUCAUACUAAACGGGCGCUUUAUCUGUUGGUCCAUUUAAUUUGAUCUUGAGUUUUAGUGGCUGAAUUUGGAUUUUAGGCCUUUGUUUGGUAUUUCUUAGUUGCUUCUCCUCAUAUUUUUGAAGACUCUCGCUAUUCUUUUGUGAUCAUCAGCUACAAUAAAGAGUGGCUUGUUGUCCUCUUGUUUAUUUAUUAUUCAGUUGUGUUGUAUUCAGUUAAAUAAAAUUUGCCUAUAUAUUAUGGGUGUUCUCCAUAAAAAUAUGUGAUCUAAAAGUUAGAGAAGUGAAAAACUCAUUCCGCUAGUGAAAAUCCAUUCAACCCAAAAGUUUAAGCCUGGUGGGUGAGACAUAUUAAUAAACAUUGAAUUUAUUAGUCUUUUGUUAAUUAUUCGAUAUGAAACUAUAAACAAGUGAAAUUCUAACACUAAGGACCCUUCAAAUUAGGAUUGGAGUGGGCAAACUGAGUAGUUGAGCACAAAACAAGCAAAUCUCUCCUUUUCUUUUCAUAAUGUUUUUCUAAUUGAUACAAUGGUAGGUAUGUACAAAUAUCCACUUCUCUCUAUAUUAUGAAAGUUUUUACAGCUCUAAACUAAUUUUCAACAAUAGGACAUUGGAAACGUCUAUCCAUACUAUUGAACAUUAUCUUAAAUAGUUGUAGUUUAAUUGAACCCGCAAAAUAGAACAAUUUUUUGUCAAAUGUAUUCUAACUUUACUUCUUCUAUAUACAAAACAAUAAAUGUCAUAUGCCAGCCGUCAAAAUUUAUGUUUGGAAUAGUUUGAAUAUAAAGUAGAAAAAUACUAGAACAUUAGGGCAUUCACUUUCUAAAGUAACAGUAUUGAUUAUAAUAGAUGAUGAGAAGGAAAGCAAAGAGAAUUAAUCUGCUGAGGUAAAAAUGUGCGGAGACCCCUCGCCUAUCGGCCAUUUUGAAAUAACCCUCUCAAUUUUAAUCUUUUUCGUAUUGGUGAGCUUUUUCAGUUAGCUAAGUUAGAAACUCUGCAAUAUUUGACAAUUCUAUUAGCUAUCAGUAGUUAAUUGUUUUAGUUUAAAAUGAAUCAAAACUAUUACUUUUGAUAAAAAACACUUGUGAACUCGAUAAAAUUUACUCAACCAUGAAAGAUCAAAAUUUAUAGUUGAAGGGGUCUUCAUGCAUUUUUACCAUCUACAAAUUGAUGGAUACUUGUGGCCACUAAUUAAUACUUACUACGAUGGGCAAUGACCACUUAAGAUAUAGUUAAAUUAAAUCAAUUGGAUAAGAUAUUGUUAAUCAAAGCAAUUAGAUCUUUCAAAGUUAGUGCUCCAAGUUUAUGCUCAACACAAAAAAGAAAGUAAAAAUGAAAAUAAAAAUAAAGUUAGUGCUCAAAGGAGUGCAUCUUUUAGCAACACAUUUCAUACUAACUGCACACAUUUUGCCGCACGCUUUUUUUGAUGACUCACCUGAAUCCGGCUCGUCACUGUAAGCCUUUCGGUUCGGCAUGAUCCUUUCCGAGUUAGGGCCUUCUGCUUAAAAGUAAAAAACCCUUAUGUAGUAUGCUACUCGCUUCGUUUAUUUUAUUUAGAAAUAAAUUUAGCUAAAAAUUUGAAUCAACUAGAAUUCGAACUUGGGAUCUCGGGUGCCAACCACCAAGUUUUUUGCCACUUGCGCUAGGGACGGUCGGUCCUAUAUUCGCUUCUACAACUCAUUAAGAUUAAAAUUUUUUUUUAAUAAAAUUAGAAAAUAAUUUGACCUGGGGCGCCGAGCUAUCUCUUCCUGGCCCAUCUAGCUAUGUUGUGCUUUGCUUGGUCUUGUUUAGCUUUGCUGAUUCUUCUUUACCCAGCUUUGGGUCCUUUCUCAUUUGCCUUAUUUGACUAUGUGUUUCCCUUCCUCAAAUAGGGUAUACUUCUGUUUAAUCAAAAAAAAAGAAAGAAAAGAAAAUAAUUUGACUAAAUUUAAUUGGCUAAUGAAAAUAGAAUAUGCUUUGAAAAAAAUAGGGUUUAAGAGAGAUAUAUCUAACACAAGCAAUGCUAGUAUACCUAGAAAGGAAGUGUCCUUUGUAUAAAGGGCAAUAUUUGAUACUUAUUUUAUUAAUUUUUUUGAGUGAAUUAAGAACUAAGUUUGCUAUCAAAAGGGGUUGUAUUUUCUAUAACUCCUCAUCCGAAAAUUGUAGAAUUUUUUUGAGUGAACAACUCAGUUUGCUAUUUUUUUUAAAAAAAAAAGUUAUUGUAGGAAUAUAAUACAAAGUUGACAAUCGAACUAGCAUUAAUGUAGAAAGUUUUAAAAUAUUCUUUAAACCUCAGGACGGCGUGUAACGUGCAAAGAGGUACUAAUAAUUAAUUUGGCUGCACAGCUAUUGUUCUCAACCGACAAAGCCGUUCGUUGGAACGUGCAAAGAUGUCUCCGUCAAUUGCUUAUAAAAAUAACAUGGCAUAAUAAAGUCAACUUAAAGGCAUAGACUAUCUUCUUCUGAAUCAAGAGCAGCAGAUAGAUCUCUGGCCAUAGCUGAACUCGAAACAGUUUGCAAAGCAAGAAGAAUUUGAUCGAGCACGAUCACCCAAAUGGCGACGCUGGACGCUCUGUUCGGAAACUGCUCAGAGAAGCUCGCUGCUUUAAUCCAGGAUGAGGUGGCGAUGAUUCUCGGAGUGAAGGAAGAGCUCGCGACGCUGCAGAGGAGGAUGAAGCGGAUCGGCGGCGCGCUGAAGAAAGUAGGGCGGGAGAGGACCGAAGAUGCCGCUUGGNGCCCCACGCUGCUGAAGGCGCCGUUGCCACAGCGUCCACCGCCCAAGUUGCCCGACGCUGCCCGAGCCGCAUCUGCCAUCGCCGCCCGAGCUGCUAAGCCCGAGCCGAACGCCAAUCGAACCGACGCCGCGUGCACCAUCAACACCAUCUUGCCUGUUGCCGUUGCCGCUGAAGCCGAGGUCGCAACGUCUCAAUUGAUUUGAUUGCUUCGGGAAUGGGGAGCAAGAAAAAAACAUUAAAAGGAAAAAAAAUAGAGUGUUGUUUCUUUGCUUACUCUGAAGUGUACCCCAUAAAUUUUUUAAUGAUAUUUUGAGUUAAAUUAAAAAAAUGAUGAGACUUGCAUAUUGUUAAAAGACGCAAAGAGAGAGCGCCCGGUCAUCCACAUCUUCUUCAAUUGCAAAGCAAAACAAAAACAAAGAAAAAAGAGAGGAAAAAGAGCAAAAAUUGUAUAUAUAUAUAUAUAUAUAUAUAUAGAAAUAAUUUUUUUUUUUGUCCGCCGACUUUUCAUGUUACCAAAAACAAUUUAUUAAAAAAAUAAACUUUUUCACCAUUUCAAAAAAAAAAUUUGUCUUUUUGCAUCUUUUUCUCUCUCCCAUCUAAAAAUCUUUUUGCUUUUCAAUCUUCGUAAGAAAUAAUAUAUUAAAAAAAAUUUUAUCUUUUCAAGAGAUAAUCAAAGCUUCAAAAGCUCAGUUUCUAUCUUCAUUCCUUGAUUUUGAUCUCAUAUAAUUUUGAAGUUAGUUUUCAUGAACAAAAGAGUAAUAUUUUGAGUUUUGAAUUUUGGGUUAGCAACUAUUUUAAUAUUAAGAAGUUAAUAAUUUUUCCGAAUGUAUUUAGUAUGAAUUUAAAAUUUAAAAUUUAAAAUUUAAAAUAAUUAUAUAUUAAUUUAUUAAAGUUUAUAUCAAAAUAUUAGUGUCAAAAUUGUCCGCAGCGAAGCCCGGAUUCAACACUAGUAUAAUACAAAGUUGACAAUACAAAGUUGACAAUCGAACUAGCAUUAAUGUAGAUAGUUUUAAAAUAUUCUUUAAACCUCAGGACGGCGUGUAACGUGCAAAGAGGUACUAAUACUUAAUUUGGCUACACAGCUAUUGUUCUCAACUGACAAAGCCGUUCGUUGGAACGUGCAAAGAUGUCUCUGUCAAUUGCUUAUAAAAAUAACAUGGUAUAAUUAAGUCAACUGAUCAAAGGCCUAUCUUCUUCUGAAUCAAGAGCAGCAGCAUAGAUCUCUGGCCAUAGCUGAACUCGAAACAUUUUGCAAAGCAAGAAGAAUUUGAUCGAGCACCAACACGCAAAUGGCGACGCUGGACGCUCUUCUCGGAAACUGCUCAGAGAAGCUCGCUGCUUUAAUCCAAGAUGAGGUGGCGAUGAUUCUCGGAGUGAAGGAAGAGCUCGCGAACCUGCAGAGGAGGAUGAAGCGGAUCGACGACGCACUGAAGAAGGCAGGGCGGGAGAGGACCGAAGAUACCGCUUGGCUGAAUGAGCUGCAAAGUAUCUUGCAUGAAGCAAACAAUGUCUUUGACGACCUCAGGUAUGAGCUGCCGUCCGCAUCUUCAUCAGUUCUGUCGAUUCUCUGCUGCCUUCCUAUGUUCUCUUUCUUCAACUUCAUUCGUGCUCGUCACAACUUAGCCAAUAGAAUCAGAGCCCUCAACAAUAGAAUCGAUGAAGUUGCAAAGGACCAGUGGAUCUUUAGUCUUGAGUCGGCAAAGACGGUGGGUCAAGUGGCGAGCAUGUCGUCCACGCGCGAGACUUGUGAGAUCAUGGAAUCCGACGUCGUCGGGAGAGAGAUCGAUGAUGCUACCGACGAAUUGGUCGAGAUGAUAGUCACGAACAACCGACGGACUUUUCAAGUGAUUGCUGUAGCAGGCAUGGGAGGGAUCGGCAAGACCACGCUCGCUCAGAAGGUGUACAACAACCCGAGAAUUGGAGACCACUUCCAGGUAAGAAUUUGGAUUUGCGUCACCCAAAAAUAUUCAGAUGUUCGAUUAACGCAGGACAUCAUUCGAAAAGCCGGAGGAAGUUGCGGCACUGCCGAACGGCUCUGCGAAUUGCUCCCUAUUCUCUGCCGGACUCUUGGAGGGCGGAGCAUCUUUCUCGUGCUGGAUGAUGUAUGGCGAUCGGACGUAUGGACCGAUUUACUCCGAAACCCGCUGCAAAAUGGAGCAGCUAGUGGAUGUGUUCUGGUGACCACAAGAGACCAGAACGUUGCGAUGAGAAUGGGGGCGAAACACAUUCACUGGGUGGAGAAAAUGACUGUUGAUUCAGGCUGGGAGUUGCUUUGUAAGAGAACAUAUCUCGAAGAAGAAGGAGAAGAUGUGCAAUGUUUGAGAAGUGUGGGGGUUCAAAUUGUUAACAAAUGCGGCAGCCUUCCGCUUGCAAUUAAAGUGAUUGCCGGUGUCUUAACCACCAAGGAGAAAAGCAGAAAAGAGUGGGAGAAAGUUCUCAGAAGCAAUGCUUGGUCUAUGAGUGAGCUUCCUGAGGAAUUCAGGGGUGCUCUCUACUUGAGUUACGACGAUUUGCCGCCUUAUCUGAAGCAAUGCUUUCUUUCUUUUUGCCUUUACCCUGAGGAUUAUGGACACCGCAUUUGCGAUCUUCGCAAGAUGUGGGUGGCAGAGGGGUUUGUCAAGCAAGAAGAAGGUUUAAUAAUGGAAGAGUUAGCCGAUCAAUACUACUCCGAGCUAAUACGUAGGAGUCUACUACAACCUGAUCCUCGUUAUGUGGAUCAGGGCAUGUGCACAGUACACGAUCUCUUGCGAUCUCUCGCUCAAUAUUUGUCACGAGGUGAAAGUUACUAUGGAGAUCCACAGUCCUUGGAUGCUACUGCAAUCUCAAAGCUUGCGCGCUUGUCAAUUGCUGAGAACGGAGAGAUUGUUACAAUCCCUGGUCCAAACACUGAGCAGCUACGCUUGAGGACAUUACUACUAUUUAAGAGUCCACCUAGAAUUGAGCACAAUCUUUUCUCUAGAGUUCCAUACCUCCAAGUGCUGCUUCUUAAUGGAGAAGGGAUAGAAUGCAUUCCUGAUAGUGUGGGAAGUCUAAUAAACCUUCGAUUGUUAGAUCUUGAUCGGACUAGCAUAUCCAGGCUGCCGGACUCUAUCGGCUUCCUAACGAAUUUGCAGAUUUUAAACUUACGAGAUUGCAAAUUUCUAAACACACUUCCAAGGGGCAUCACUUGCUUAUGCAGUCUUAGACAGCUUGGCCUUUUUGGGACCCCUUUAAGAAGUGUCCCCGAAGGAAUAGGGAGACUACAACUGCUCAAUGACCUCAGUGGAUUUGUUAUUAAUGCAGACGGUAGUUGCAAUACCGAACAAAAUAGUUGGGACUUGGAAGAAAUGAGAUCACUAGGCCAACUAAGGUUGCUCCAAUUAUCUAUUUUGGGGGGGGGACAGAAUGCAAGUUCCGUGCAGUCCACUGAUGACAUAAUAGAUCAACCGCUGACGGUAACUCAUCUAAGGAAUAGGGCUUUUGUACUUGAAGAUAAAGCCUUCCUAAAAUAUCUAGCUAUAUCCUGCACACCGCAGACGGAGAGGGCAGAAGCACUGCCAUACACAGAGGAGGAAAUCAGUAAUAUUGAAGACACCUUUGAGAAAUUGCACCCUCCAACUUGUUUAGAAACAUUAUUUCUCGCCAACUUUUACAGUCAUCAUAUGCCGAGUUGGUUGCUGUCGUCAUCUUUGGGUACUUAUCUUCCUCAUCUAACAUACGUGAAAUUCAUAGGUUUGCCACUAUGCCCACAAAUUCCACCUCUAGGCCAAUUGCCGCAUUUGAGGUUUCUCCGAAUCGAAGAUGCUUUGGCAAUUGUAACUAUUGGUCCAGAAUUACUCGGUAAUGGGGUUGGUGACGGGGUGCACGCAACAACAGCCUUUCCUAAGCUUGAAUUUCUUAUCAUGAAAGGCAUGCCUAAUUGGGAAGAAUGGUCCUUAGUUGGCAGUGAAACAGGAAACUCAUCAUCUUGCUCACUUCGAGUUAUGCCUCGUUUAGAGCAGUUGUAUGUGAUAGAUUGCCCAAAACUUAGAGCACUUCCAAAAGGUUUGCAGCAACUCAGAGCACUCCGGAUUUUGCGCGCUACAAGGGCUCAUAGCCUAAGUGUAAUUGAGGACUUCCUAUUCAUUACUGAGCUUAAAAUCUACAUAAAUAAUGGCAUGGAAAGGGUCUCAAAUCUUCCUGCACUAAGGAAGCUCACCAUUUAUGACACUCCGGCUCUAAAGUGCGUCGAUAAUUUGGUUGCACUACAAUACCUAGAGUUGGAAGAUUAUUCUAUGAAGUCCCUCCCAGAAUGGUUGUUGAGACUGGUCCAGCAACGCGCGCAUCUUCGCGACGAAAACCUCCAACUUGUGAUGCGCUGCAAGGCUGCCGUAAUUCAGAGAUGCCUUAGGGGAGGGCCAGACUGGCCUAUCAUCGAGUGCUUUUCUCGUGUCAGCGCCUACACCAAAGAUAGAUCAGCAUAUCUGGAAUAUACCAAGCAAAGUGGGUGCUAUCGAACUAAUCAAUGAAGGUAACAUCGGUGAAAACUUUCCUACUUCUCUUCUCAUUUUCCUUUUUUUUUCCUUCUCGAUUAGUCGUCUUGUACUUCAAACUAUUAUGUUUGGCAUCAUCUCAAUUCUCAAACUUAACUGCAUUCAUUAUCUAUGCUAGUUCAUGAUAUUUCCCUAGUUUUCUCUCUAUUCCUAGGAGCUUGCAUAAAUGCCUGGCUAGCUAAGCGCGCUUUGCUUGUUUUUUAAAAUAAAAUUCUGCUUCAAUAAUGGUGCUUCAUUUCCAUUAUUCUAAAAUUUCCUUCAGUCUCCCUUUCAAGUGAGUUUCAUUGUCUUAAGAUAAAGUUAUACAGAAUUUAUCUGAACUAUGAAUCGCUUUGAGUCAGCUAUCUAAUCUUUCUAAAUUUUGAUUUUACUAUUCAAUUUUUUAAUUUAUUUGAUUUUAGUGGGUCAGUACCACUUUGACUUCAAAAUUUAAACUAACUGAUUAAUUUAAUAAAUUUAUAGUUGUGAAAAUCACAUAAAAUAUGUUAACUAAAUCUGUAAAGAUAAACGACACAUUCAAAUUUUGAAGAUAAAUGCCGUUGACUAAACUCAAAUCAAAUAAAUUGAAAUAUUAAAUACUAAAAUCAAGAUUUUGAAAGGUUGGAUAGUUAACUCAAGAUGGUUUAUAGUUCGAAUAAAGUUUGCAUGUUUCACCUUAUCUUAACUCAAUUGUAGAAAUAUAUAUCAUAGUGUGGAAUGUAUAUGUAUUCUUUUGAAUUUACAAAAGCCAUUUAUUCUGUGUUUGCAUUUAUUCUAUUUGCAUGCUGAAAAAUAAGUACAUUUGAUCAGGCAAUCAACUGAUCAAAAGUCAGAUCUUUCAACUGGUCCUUCCAGUUCUAUUAGUAAAAAGUUUUUUUUUCUUUUUUUCUUUUUUUUUUUUUGAGAGAAAGAUAAGGUGCUAUUUAUUUUUUUUAGAAAAUACUUAGCUGGAAAUAUAAAGCAACUAAGCUUUGAACUUAAAAUCUUGGAUACCAACCAUUAUACCCUUUGUCACUUAUAUUAGAGAUGGUUGGUUAGUAAGAUCAGUUUACGAUCUUUUUGUUGCGAGAGUUUGUCGAUCAUUUUCGGGCCGUCGCCUAAUUCACAGUCAAAGUAAACUGGUUUUUUUUUCCUGAAACAAAGCCCUCUUUGGUUAGCUACUCCUGUGUCAAUAAUUUGAACAUUUUAGUCUCAAAGAAAAAAAAAGAAAACAACCCCAACUAAUGUGAACAUUUUGCUUAUAUGAACCUCUCUAUUAAUUACUAAGAACCCAGGCUUCAUUACUUAGCUGCUGUUUGAAAAGCAUGAAAAAAAAUUGUGGAAAAGAUGUGUUUCAUGAAAAACUUCUUUUCUAAUUUUUUUUGGCCAAUUUGGUUCUAAGAAAAAACUAGGUUUUUCAGAAAUUUUUUUUAUUGAUUUUACCAAAAAAUUAUUGUUUUCAUUUGCAAUUUAAAAAUAAAAAAAACGAAAACAAUAGUUUUCCAUGAAAUAUGAAAAAUGUUCUUCAAAAAAAGCUCUUUUUUUUUUAACCAAAGAGGUGGAAAACUAGAAAAAAAAAAAAUUUCAAAAUAUAUCUUGUAAUAUCACGUUCUGCAUACCAUAAUGUCAUCCUAUAAAAAAAAAAAAAAAAAACCAUUAUGAAUACUAAACGGACCCUAACUCUAUAACAUGCUUGUAAAGCUUAGUACACCCUAGUUCAAAUGUAGGAUCGAGCCCAGGAUAGGGCUUAAACAAAGCCCAGAUAUUGAUCCAUGCAACUUUAUGUUUCUUCUUUCUCUUUUCUCAGAGCCUAAAUAAAUUUUUAAGGUUUCUAAAUUUUCCUGUAUACACAUACACCGAAGCAAAAUAUAAUAAGAAAGUAGAAUAGCAAAACAUUCUAUAUCGCAAUGAGUCGAUUAGACCAUAUUUUCUACAAUCCUCAAAGAAAAACUAAAAGGUAUAUUUUUAUAUAUUUGUGUCCUAAUUCUGUAUUGUCUAUUAGAAUUAAAUAAGCCUUCAUACUAAACGGGCGCUUUAUCCGUUGGUCCGUUUAGUGUGAUCUUGGGUUUUAGUGGCUGAAUUUGGAUUUUAGGCCUUUGUUUGGUAAUUCUUAAUUAGUUGCUUCUCCUAUAUAAUAUUUUUGAAGAUUCUCGCCACCCUUUUGUGAUCAUCAGCCACAAUAAAGAGUGGCUUGUUGUCCUCUUGCUUAUUUGUUAUUCAGUUGCGUUGUAUCCAGUUAAAUAAAUUUGCCUAUAUAUUAUGAGUGUUCUCCAUAAAAAUACGUGAUCUGAAAGUUAGAGAAGUGGCAAAGGGCUAGUUGGCAAAGGGCUAGGUGAUCUGACCAUUCCUAGAGCAAGUGGCAAAGGGUUAGGUGGUUGGUACUUAAGACCCAAGUUCGAAUCCUAAUUGAUUCACAUUUUCAGCCAAGUUUAUUUCUAAAUGAAAUAAACAAAGCGGGUAGCGACUACCUACCUCUCAAAAAAAAAAAAGAAGUUAGAGAAGUGAAAAACUCAUUCCGCUAGUAAAAAUCCAUUCAACCUAAAAACUUAAGCCCGGUGGACUAGACCCAUUAAUAAACAUCGAAUUUAUUAGUUUCUUGUUAAUUAUUCGAUAUGAAACUAUUAACAAGUGAAAUUCUAAUACUAAAAGACCCUUCGAAUUAGGAUUGGAGUGGGCAAACUGAGUAGGAGAGCACAAAACAAGCAAAUCUCUCCUUUUUCUUUUCAUAAUAUUUUUUUAGUUGAUAUGGUGGCAAGCAUGUACAUGUAUUCACUUCUCUCCAUAUUAUGGAAGUUUUUACAGCUCCAAACUAAUUUUCAACGUUAGAACAUUUGAAAUGUCUUUCCAUACUAUUGAACAUUAUCUUAAAUAGUUGUAAUUUAAUUGAACUGGUAAAAUGGAACAAGUUUUUGUCGAAGGUAUUCUAACUUUACUUUUUCUAUAUAUAAAACGAUAAAUGCCGUAUGAUAGCUGUCAAAAUUUAUGUUUGGAAUAGUUUGAAUAUAAUAAAGUAGAAAAGUACUAAAACAUUACCAAGUUCACUUUCUAAAGAAUUCAAAUAUUGUAGAUUACAUCUAACAGUAUUGAUUAUCAUUUAGAUACUCUGUUAUUCGAAAUCAAGUUAUUAAGCAAACGUCUUGAUGUAAUUAAUUAAUUAAUAAUGCAUAAUCUUUUUUUUUUUGAGAUAAAAGCUAGGAUUAAUAUCUGUUUUAUUUAUAGCGAAUAUAAACUGAGCUACAGUAGUGGGGCAACUGCCCCAAAAAUCAAAAGCUUUUUGAACAAGAGCACGCAAAAAAACACAAAAAAAAAAAAAUAGUUAGUUUAUAAUGCAGAAUCUAGCUAACCUAUGUAAUUUAUAUAUGUGUUAGUUCACCACUCAUGCAGGUCUCUGACAAUUCUAACAGAAGUUAAUGAUGAUUCCCUGAUCAUCAUUUACUUUCCUUCCCCCAAUUGAUGACACCACAACACUCCCAUGAUUUGAUAAGAAAUUUUCCCAUCCCUCCAAAGUGAUAUGUAUCUUUUUUUCUUCAAAAAAAAAAAAAAAAANCCAAAUCAUAUUGGCACUUCACAAAGAUAAGCAACUUUUUUGAUGCCUAGCAUUGAAAAGUAGAUGAAGCCACUAAAAUGUGUCUUUCCUUAGCUUAGUUGACAUCUCCAAAAUAUAUAAAUUUAUAUACCACUUCUUAUCCCUCCAACUUAAUCUUCUCCCCUUUUUAUAAUAGAUGAUGAGAAGGAAAGCAAAGAGAAUUAAUCUACUAAGGUAAAAAUGUGCAGAGACCCCUCGCCUAUCGGCCAUUCUGAAAUAACCCUCUGAAUUUUAAUCGCUUUUUCUAUCGGUGAGCUUUUUCAGUUAGUUAAACUAUCAGUAGUUAAUUGUUUUAGUUUAUUUACUGAAAAAUGAAUCAAAACUAUUACUUUUGAUGUGAACUCAAUAAAAUUUACUCAAGAGCGAAAGAUCAAAAUUUAUAGUUGAAGGGGUCUUCAUGCAUUUUUACCAUCUACAAAUUUAUAGAAUUCGAGCUUGGGACCUCGGGUGCCAACCACCAAGUUUUUUGCCACUUGCGCUAGGGACGGUCUGUCCUAUAUUCGCUUCUAAAGCUCAUUAAGAUUAAAACUUUUUUUUAAUAAAAUUAGAAAAUAAUUUGACCUGGGGCGCCGAGCUAUCUCUUCCUGGCCCAUCUAGCUAUGUUGUGCUUUGCUUGGUCUUGUUUAGCUUUGCUGAUUCUUCUUUACCCAGCUUUGGGUCCUUUCUCAUUUGCCUUAUUUGACUAUGUGUUUCCCUUCCUCAAAUAGGGUAUACUUCUGUUUAAUCAAAAAAAAAGAAAGAAAAGAAAAUAAUUUGACUAAAUUUAAUUGGCUAAUGAAAAUAGAAUAUGCUUUGAAAAAAAUAGGGUUUAAGAGAGAUAUAUCUAACACAAGCAAUGCUAGUAUACCUAGAAAGGAAGUGUCCUUUGUAUAAAGGGCAAUAUUUGAUACUUAUUUUAUUAAUUUUUUUGAGUGAAUUAAGAACUAAGUUUGCUAUCAAAAGGGGUUGUAUUUUCUAUAACUCCUCAUCCGAAAAUUGUAGAAUUUUUUUGAGUGAACAACUCAGUUUGCUAUUUUUUUUAAAAAAAAAAGUUAUUGUAGGAAUAUAAUACAAAGUUGACAAUCGAACUAGCAUUAAUGUAGAAAGUUUUAAAAUAUUCUUUAAACCUCAGGACGGCGUGUAACGUGCAAAGAGGUACUAAUAAUUAAUUUGGCUGCACAGCUAUUGUUCUCAACCGACAAAGCCGUUCGUUGGAACGUGCAAAGAUGUCUCCGUCAAUUGCUUAUAAAAAUAACAUGGCAUAAUAAAGUCAACUUAAAGGCAUAGACUAUCUUCUUCUGAAUCAAGAGCAGCAGAUAGAUCUCUGGCCAUAGCUGAACUCGAAACAGUUUGCAAAGCAAGAAGAAUUUGAUCGAGCACGAUCACCCAAAUGGCGACGCUGGACGCUCUGUUCGGAAACUGCUCAGAGAAGCUCGCUGCUUUAAUCCAGGAUGAGGUGGCGAUGAUUCUCGGAGUGAAGGAAGAGCUCGCGACGCUGCAGAGGAGGAUGAAGCGGAUCGGCGGCGCGCUGAAGAAAGUAGGGCGGGAGAGGACCGAAGAUGCCGCUUGGUUGAAUGAGCUGCAAAGUAUCUUGCAUGAAGCGAACGAUGUCUUUGACGAACUCAGGUAUGAGCUGCCGUCCGCAUCUUCAUCAGUUCUGUCGAUUCUCUGCUGCCUUCCUAUGUUCUCUUUCUUCAACUCCAUUCGAGUUCGUCACAACUUAGCCGAUAGAAUCAGAGCCCUCAACAAUAGAAUCGACGAGGUCGCGAAGGACCAGUGGAUCUUUAAUCUUGAGCCGGUAAAGACGAUGGGUCGAGUGGCGAGCAUGUCGUCCACGCGCGAGACUUGUGAGAUCAUGGAAGCCGAUGUCGUCGGGAGAGAGAUCGAAGAUGCUGCCGACGAAUUGGUCGAGAUGAUAGUCACGAACAACCGAAGAAAUUUUCAAGUGACUGCUGUAGCAGGCAUGGGAGGGAUCGGCAAGACCACGCUCGCUCAGAAGGUGUACAACAACCCGAGAAUUGGAGACCACUUCCAGGUAAGAAUUUGGAUUUGCGUCACCCAGAAAUAUUCAGAUGUUCGACUGCUACAGGAGAUCACUCGAGAAGCAGGAGGUAGUCACGGAAGUGCCGAACGAGUUUCAAAACUGCUCCCUAUUCUCAGCCAGACCCUUGGAGGGAGGAGCAUCUUUCUCGUGCUGGACGAUGUAUGGCGAUCGAACGUAUGGACUGAUUUACUCCAAAACCCGCUACAAAAUGGAGCAGCUAGCGGAUGUGUUCUGGUAACCACGAGAGACCAGGACGUUGCGAUGAGAAUGGGCGCGAAACACAUUCACCGGGUGGGGAAAAUGACUGUUGAUUCAGGCUGGGAGUUGCUUUGCAAGAAAACCUAUCUAGAAGAAGAAGGAGAAGAUGCGCAAAGUUUGAGAAGUGUGGGGGUUCAAAUUGUUAACAAAUGCGGCGGCCUUCCGCUUGCAAUCAAAGUGAUUGCCGGUGUCUUAGCCACCAAGGAGAAGAGCAGAAAAGAGUGGGAGAAAGUUCUCAGAAGCAAUGCUUGGUCUAUGAGUGAGCUUCCUGAGGAAUUCAGGGGUGCUCUCUACUUGAGUUACGAUGAUUUGCCGCCUCAUCUGAAGCAAUGCUUUCUUUCCUUAUGCCUUUACCCUGAGAAUGAUGUACACUUCAUUCAUAAGCUUCGCACGAUGUGGGUGGCAGAGGGGUUUGUCAAGCAAGAAGAUGGUUCAAUAAUGGAAGAGUCAGCCGAGCAAUACCACUCCGAGCUAAUACGUAGGAGUCUGCUACAACCUGAUCCUCUUUCUGUGGAUCAGAGCAAAUGCACAAUACACGAUCUCUUGCGAUCUCUCGGUCAAUAUUUGUCACGAGGUGAAAGCUACUAUGGAGAUUCACAGUCCUUGGAUGCUACUGCAAUCUCAAAGCUUCGCUGCUUGUCAAUUGCUGAGAUCGGAGAGAUUGUUACAAUCCCUGGUCCAGAAACUGAGCGACUACGCUUGAGGACAUUACUACUAUUUAAGAGUCCACCUAGAAUUGAGCACAAUCUUUUCUCUAGAGUUCCAUACCUCCAAGUUUUGAUUCUUAAUGGAAAAGGGAUUGAAUGCGUUCCUGAUAGUGUGGGAAGUCUAAUACACCUCCGAUUGUUAGAUCUUGAUCGGACUAGCAUAUCCAAUCUGCCGGACUCUAUUGGAUUCCUAACAAAUUUGCAGACUUUAAACUUACA